rnacentral:tRNA from 1 species
GGGGCCGUCGUCUACAGCAUGCUAAGUUGCAUGCUGGCGGAGAGCUUGGUCUAGGAUACCAGAACUAGCAUAUGCUGGUAGAUGGAAAGGUGGUGAACCUGGGGACCAUGCUCAAUCCUAGAUGCUGGAACGCUGGCGGUCCGGGGUUCAAAUCCCCGCGGCCCCACCA